rnacentral:rRNA from 1 species
AUGGCACCAAUUAUCGAGUGUCUAAAGAAGGGAAAGUUCCAAUGGACAGAAGCGACUGAAGCUAAUUUCAAUAAGAUCAAGCAAAAACUCUCACAAGCUCCUGUCUUGGUGCUACCUGAUUUCCACAAGGCUUCUGAGUUGGAGUGUGAUGCAAAUAGAGUAGGCAUUGGAGCUGUCCUAUCUCAAGAAAGGAAGCUCGUUGUUUUCUUUAGUGAGAAGUUAAGUGAAGCUAGGCAGAAAUGGAGUACUUGUCAACAAGAAUUGUAUGCAGUUUUUCAAGCUUUAAAAACGUGGCAAGUCUAUUUGCUGCCUAAAGAGCUCAUCGUUUACACUGAACAUCAAUCCUUGAAGCAUUUUCGAAAUCAAAAGCAUGUUGAUCAUAUGAUAGCAAGAUGGACAACAUAUCCGGAGAGGUUUAACUAUCUCAUUGUGCAUAAAUCUGGAGCAACCAAUCGAGUAGCCAAUGCUUUGAGUUGUCGUGCAUGUCUCUUGAUUUCUUUUGAGGUUGAAAUUCCAGGCAGGUGA